CGGAGUGUAGCUCAGCCUGGUAGAGCGCUACGUUCGGGACGUAGAGGUCGUGGGUUCGAACCCCGUCACUCCGACCA
rnacentral:tRNA from 1 species